UUUUUACGCCCUCCGUCUAACAAAGGAUGCCUCAACUUUGAUUAAAUUUGAAUGCAUCUAUACACUAGAUACAUUCAAAUUUCAGCAAACUUGAGACAUCCUUUGUUGGACGGAGGGAGUAUUUA
rfam:Brachypodium distachyon strain Bd21 chromosome 1, whole genome shotgun sequence.